AGCCAACUGACGAGUCCUAAAUAGGACGAAAUUCGCGUUAUCCUGGCU
rnacentral:hammerhead_ribozyme from 1 species